UGUUUUUGUUUUUAGAAAAAGAAAAAAAUAUAUGAAUCUGAAAAUGUUUACAAUCUGGCCUUUUACAGAAAAAGUUUGCCAGCCUCCACCUUAGGACAUCAGAGACCUCUUCUGGAUUCUUUGCAGCUUUGGAGAAGAAAAUAUCUCAAGAAAUGAAUGCCUGGAUAGGAAUGGCUGCCAAGCAAUGAUCUGAGCAGAUUUACAAGGGUUUUUAGAGCACAGAAGGCCGAAAGUGUUUUGUGGUGAGGGGUCCCCAACAGC